rnacentral:rRNA from 1 species
UACCAGCACCCCGAGUGGUCGGGACGAUUAUUGGGCCUAAAGCAUCCGUAGCCGGUCCUACAAGUCUUCCGUUAAAUCCACCUGCUUAACAGAUGGGCUGCGGAAGAUACUAUAGGGCUAGGAGGCGGGAGAGGCAAGCGGUACUCAGUGGGUAGGGGUAAAAUCCUCUGAUCCAUUGAAGACCACCAGUGGCGAAGGCGGCUUGCUAGAACGCGCUCGACGGUGAGGGAUGAAAGCUGGGGGAGCAAACCGG